AUUGAACGCUGGCGGCAUGCUUUACACAUGCAAGUCGAACGGCAGCGCGGGCUUCGGCCUGGCGGCGAGUGGCGAACGGGUGAGUAAUACAUCGGAACGUGCCCAGUAGUGGGGGAUAGCUCGGCGAAAGCCGGAUUAAUACCGCAUACGACCUGAGGGUGAAAGCGGGGGAUCUUCGGACCUCGCGCUAUUGGAUCGGCCGAUGGCAGAUUAGCUAGUUGGUGGGGUAACGGCCUACCAAGGCGACGAUCCGUAGCUGGUCUGAGAGGAGGACCAGCAACACUGGAACUGAGACACGGUCCAGAGUCCUACGGGAGGCAGCAGUGGGGAAUUUUGGACAAUGGGCGAAAGCCUGACGGAGCAAUGCCGCGUGAGUGAAGAAGGUCUUCGGAUCGUAAAACUCUGUUAGUAGGGAAGAACAGAAGUGAAAGAAAAAAUGCACGUCUUGACGGUACCUAAACAGAAAGCAACGGCUAACUACGUG
rnacentral:rRNA from 1 species